rnacentral:rRNA from 1 species
UAGGGAAUCUUCCGCAAUGGGCGAAAGCCUGACGGAGCAACGCCGCGCGAGUGAUGAAGGUCUUCGGAUCGUAAAACUCUGUUAUUAGGGAAGAACAAAUGUGUAAGUAACUAUGCACGUCUUGACGGUACCUAAUCAGAAAGCCACGGCUAACUACGUGCCAGCAGCCGCGGUAAUACGUAGGUGGCAAGCGUUAUCCGGAAUUAUUGGGCGUAAAGCGCGCGUAGGCGGUUUUUUAAGUCUGAUGUGAAAGCCCACGGCUCAACCGUGGAGGGUCAUUGGAAACUGGAAAACUUGAGUGCAGAAGAGGAAAGUGGAAUUCCAUGUGUAGCGGUGAGAUGCGCAGAGAUAUGGAGGAGAACCAGUGGCGAAGGCGACUUUCUGGUCUGUAACUGUCGCUGAUGUGCGAGAGCGUGGGGAUCAAACAGG